rnacentral:rRNA from 1 species
AGUCACGAGUUUGAUCCUGGCUCAGGAUGAACGCUAGCGGCAGGCUUAACACAUGCAAGUCGAGGGGUAUAGUUCUUCGGAAUUAGAGACCGGCGCACGGGUGCGUAACGCGUAUGCAAUCUACCUUUCACAGAGGGAUAGCCCAGAGAAAUUUGGAUUAAUACCUCAUAGUAUAGUACUUUGGCAUCAAGGAACUAUUAAAGUCACAACGGCAAAAGAUGAGCAUGCGUCCCAUUAGCUAGUUGGUAAGGUAACGGCUUACCAAGGCUACGAUGGGUAGGGGUCCUGAGAGGGAGAUCCCCCACACUGGUACUGAGACACGGACCAGACUCCUACGGGAGGCAGCAGUGGGGAAUUUUGGACAAUGGGCGAAAGCCUGAUCCAGCAAUGCCGCGUGCAGGAAGAAGGCCUUCGGGUUGUAAAGCUCUUUUGUCAGGGAAGAAACGGUGAGGGCUAAUAUCCUUUGCUAAUGACGGUACCUGAAGAAUAAGCACCGGCUAACUACGUG